UACGUAGGGUGCGAGCGUUAAUCGGAAUUACUGGGCGUAAAGCGUGCGCAGGCGGUUUGUUAAGACAGAUGUGAAAUCCCCGGGCUUAACCUGGGAACUGCAUUUGUGACUGGCAAGCUAGAGUAUGGCAGAGGGGGGUAGAAUUCCACGUGUAGCAGUGAAAUGCGUAGAGAUGUGGAGGAAUACCGAUGGCGAAGGCAGCCCCCCUGGGAUAACACUGACGCUCAUGCACGAAAGGCGUGGGGAGCAAACAGG
rnacentral:rRNA from 1 species